UAUCUCCAUCUCUCUCUGCAAACCCUAAUUUCUCCCCUUUCCCCACUCUAAACCUUCAUCUUCAAUCACUCUCAGAAACUCCAAUUUCAUAACCCAAAUCUCCAGUUUCUUACUCAAUUCACUCUAAAUAUAUAAAUUCUUACCCCAAAACCGUGUUCUGAAACUCUAAUCGACCCUGAAUCUCAAUUUUAAGAACUAAAAUAAAGCUUCUAGCCGGAAAAAAAAGGAAGAAAAACCUAGUGGUGCGUUGAAUUUAGAUACUAAAUCUCUAUCAUUGACGUUUCCUUCUUCUUCGCUUUCUUCACUUAAAUGAAAUCUAGGAUGUGCUUGUUCUGUUUAGAGAGAUCUAUGAGGCUAAGUCAAGAAAGAAACAAUAGAUGUACGAAGUUUGCUUUGCCGAGAAGAGUAGGUCGAAGAAAUAAAGCUUUUGUUGCUGAAUUAAUGGAUAAGUGGGAGAAUGAAGGUGGUGAUUGAAGUUACAGAGAUAGGUUAGGGGUUUGAGAAGAUUGAACUGAUGAGAAAUCAAGAUCUGAUGGUGGUGGUUAUUAUAAUGAAGAAAUUAGGAUAUUGGUGAAAUUCAAAUUGCAUAUGAGGAAUUGAAGCUCAAUCUUGGAAGAAGCUCGAACCUGAUUUCGAGUUGGUGUUGCUGGUUAGAUGAAAUGGUUGCCGGUUCGCUCGAACCUGAUUUUCUGUAAUUUCUCCUUUUUUCUUCUUAAUUUCUCAUCAUUUUUAUUUAGAUUUUAGAAUUCUGUUGAUUUCUUGAACAAAAACCAUGAAUUUUACAGGGUUUUAUGUGAAUUUGAUAGUGGUGAUUUUGAUUGUUACAUAGGCAGUUUAAGACUGAAUUGUUGGGUUGAAGUUAACUGUCAAGGUAAAAUGGGUUUGAUUUAGUGGUUGUGGAAUUGAAUUCUGGUGGUGAUAGAAAGUUGAUUUUGGAGAUAUUGAUGAUGAAUUAGAAGAUGGGUUAAACUCAGAUUUGAGUUUGGUGGUGUUCUCGUUUUGCAGGUACAGAGAUGGAUGAGAGGUUGCAGGCUGGUAAAGUUUGAUAAUUGUUUUUUUUUUACUUUGAUGUUCUCACUAUUUCUUCCUUAUGUUUGAUUCAGCUGGUGUUUCAGAAAAUUAUUGUCUGACUUUGCCUCCCCGUUCAAAUGCAAGGAAUUUGUAUCUCAAAUUAAAGGAUUUAGGCAUGCCUGUUGAACUCAUUGGCGGGCGCAUUAAGCUGACCGAUACAUUUUGUGUGUGUGAAGAGGGACUACGUGUGACAGAGAAUGCCACUAAAAUUCUGGUAUGUCUAUACCUUCUGGUUUCUACAAACACUUAAAUCUAGCGUAAGCUUUGGCUAGAAGAGGAGCAACUAUUAUGGGUCUUGGCUACAUUUGGGAUGCUUAGCGUAGUCUUCAUUCUUCCUUUCCCAAGUAUGCUAAAGUCUAGUGCAAUUCAAAUAACCUAUUGUUUGGUCUUUGAUGUGCUUAUGUCAUUGUGCCAUUGUGCUAUUCAAAUAACCUUUUGCCCAAGACUUCUCAAGAAAAAGAUGUUUAAUUAUGUCCUUGUGCCAUUGUGUUGUUGGGGUGCCUCCACUGGAGAACCCGGAUAUUUUCGGUAAGCAGUUGCCUCUUGUUGCUGUACUUCUGCAGGUGUUAUCCGCUACUUCUUAUUGACUGCAAUUUUUUUCUUUGUGGUUUUAUAUUUUAUGCAGUUUGGACCUGCCGAGUUGUUGGUGAAUGAGUAUCUCAGGUAGUAGAUUUAUGUUAGGACAGGUACCAAUUACAGGUGCUGAGAUUAUGUAUGUUAGGACAGGUACCAAUUACAGGUGCUGAGAUUACACUAGAGAUGAUGAGAGUCUGCUAGGUUUGAGAAAGUGAAUCUGGUGGGUGCUUAUGUUGUGAAGGUGGUGGUCUGAGACAUUGCAGGUGGACCGUGAUAAGUUUGUGUGAGUGAUGGCGAAGAAUAUGAACUGGCUGUGUGUUGCAGAAGCUACAACAAUGAUUUGAAUUGGGACUGACAAAGAUGGAGGUAGUUGCAAUGAGUAGUUGAAUGGGAUGUGUAUGAACUAGAUGUAUGCUUAGGGUUGCAGUGUAUGAAACUGAGCUGCAGGUGCUGGCGCAAUUCUGGUAAUACUGUAAUACAGAGUUGAGCUGGUAGAAGCAAAUUUAUGCAUUGUGUUUCUGGUAAAUAGAUGGUUAUUAAAGUAUUACAUAUUUGAUUUUGUA